GAACCUGCGGAAGGAUCAUUAUAGUACAACGGAGGUGCCUGGGCUGUCGCUGACCUUAAAGGACGUGCACGCCCAGAGCGCUCUCUCACAUCCAUCUCACCCCUUUGUGCAUCACCGCGUGGGGCCCUCUCUUUUGGCUUGUUCCGGGAGGGGGUUUCACGUUUUUACACGAACAACCCAUUAAUGCAUGUGUAGAAUGUGUUACUUAUUUUUAAAUACAACUUUCAACAACGGAUCUCUUGGCUCUCGCAUCGAUGAAGAACGCAGCGAAAUGCGAUACGUAAUGUGAAUUGCAGAAUUCAGUGAAUCAUCGAAUCUUUGAACGCACCUUGCGCCCCUUGGUAUUCCGAGGGGUGCACCCGUUUGAGUGUCGUGAACACCCUCAACCUUCUUGGUUUAUCGACCGGGAAGGCUUGGACUUUGGAGGUUUUUGCUGCUGGCCUUGUUUUGAAGCCAGCUCCUCCUAAAUGAAUUAGUGGGGUCUGCCGUGCCGAUCCUCGACGUGAUAAGUACGCUUCUACGUCUUGGGGUUUCGCACCGUUCUCGCUUCCAACUUCGAGUUGUGACUCGACCUUAUAAACCUUGACCUCAAAUCGGGUGAGACUACCCGCUGAACUAA
rnacentral:rRNA from 1 species